rnacentral:rRNA from 1 species
GACGAACGCUGGCGGCGUGCUUAACACAUGCAAGUCGAACGGAAAGGCCCUGCUUUUGUGGGGUGCUCGAGUGGCGAACGGGUGAGUAACACGUGAGUAACCUGCCCUUGACUUUGGGAUAACUUCAGGAAACUGGGGCUAAUACCGGAUAGGAGCUCCUGCUGCAUGGUGGGGGUGGGAAAGUUUCGGCGGUUGGGGAUGGACUCGCGGCUUAUCAGCUUGUUGGUGGGGUAGUGGCUUACCAAGGCUUUGACGGGUAGCCGGCCUGAGAGGGUGACCGGCCACAUUGGGACUGAGAUACGGCCCAGACUCCUACGGGAGGCAGCAGUGGGGAAUAUUGCACAAUGGGCGGAAGCCUGAUGCAGCAACGCCGCGUGCGGGAAGACGGCCUUCGGGUUGUAAACCGCUUUCGCCUGUGACGAAGCGUGAGUGACGGUAAUGGGUAAAGAAGCACCGGCUAACUACGUG